GAUGAACGCUGGCGGCGUGCCUAAUACAUGCAAGUCGAGCGAAUGGAUUGAGAGCUUGCUCUUAUGAAGUUAGCGGCGGACGGGUGAGUAACACGUGGGUAACCCGCCCAUAAGACUGGGAUAACUCCGGGAAACCGGGGCUAAUACCGGAUAACAUUUUGAACCGCAUGGUUCGAAAUUGAAAGGCGGCUUCGGCUGUCACUUAUGGAUGGACCCGCGUCGCAUUAGCUAGUUGGGUAGGUAACGGCUCACCAAGGCAACGAUGCGUAGCCGACCUGAGAGGGUGAUCGGCCACACUGGGACUGAGACACGGCCCAGACUCCUACGGGAGGCAGCAGUAGGGAAUCUUCCGCAAUGGACGAAAGUCUGACGGAGCAACGCCGCGUGAGUGAUGAAGGCUUUCGGGUCGUAAAACUCUGUUGUUAGGGAAGAACAAGUGCUAGUUGAAUAAGCUGGCACCUUGACGGUACCUAACCAGAAAGCCACGGCUAACUACGUGCCAGCCGCCGCAGUAA
rnacentral:rRNA from 1 species